GAGGGUAUAGCUCAGUGGUAGAGCACAUGCUUAGUAUGCACAAGGCCCUGGGUUCAAUCCCCAGUACCUCCA
rnacentral:tRNA from 1 species